rnacentral:rRNA from 1 species
GACGAACGUUGGCGGCGUGCUUAAUACAUGCAAGUCAACUGAAUCAGUGGUAGCAAUAUCGCUGUGGAGGUGGCGCACGGGUGAGUAACACGUAGGUAAUCUGCCUUCAGGUCUGGCAUAACUCCGGGAAACCGGGGCUAAUAGCAGAUGAUGCAGCGGCUCGACAUCGAGACAGUUGUUAAAGCUAUGGCGCCUUAAGAUGAGCCUGCGUCUGAUUAGCUAGUUGGCGGGGUAACGGCCCACCAAGGCAACGAUCAGUAGCUGGUCUGAGAGGAUGAUCAGCAACACUGGAACUGAGACACGGUCCAGACUCCUACGGGAGGCAGCAGUAAGGAAUAUUGCUCAAUGGGAGAAAUCCUGAAGCAGCAACGCCGCGUGAGGGACGAAGGGCUUUUGCUUGUAAACCUCUGUAGUGAGAGAAAAAAAUCACAAUCUUUGGGACAUGAUGGUAUCUCAAAAGUAAGCCCCGGCUAACUACGUG